UGAGUGCGAGCGGCUACGGCCGCGAAGUGGGUGAUGUCAAGCUUCCAAGAAAAGCCCUAUACCCGUUAAGGCAUGAUGGCCUGUACCCGAAACCGACACAGGUGGGGUGGUAGAGAAUACCGAGGGGCGCGAGGUAACUCUCUCUAAGGAACUCGGCAAAAUGGCCCCGUAACUUCGGGAGAAGGGGUGCCACCGCAAGGUGGUCGCAGUGAAGAGGCCCAGGCGACUGUUUACCAAAAACACAGGUCUCCGCUAAGUCGCAAGACGAUGUAUGGGGGCUGACGCCUGCCCAGUGCCGGAAGGUUAAGGAAGCUGGUCAGCGCAAGCGAAGCUGGCGACUGAAGCCCCGGUGAACGGCGGCCGUAACGAUAACGGUCCUAAGGUAGCGAAAUUCCUUGUCGGGUAAGUUCCGACCCGCACGAAAGGCGUAACGAUCUGGGCGCUGUCUCGGAGAGAGGCUCGGCGAAAUAGAAUUGUCUGUGAAGAUGCGGACUACGUGCACCCGGACAGAAAGACCCUAUGAAGCUUUACUGUAGCUUGGUAUUGUGCCCGGGCUCUGAAUGCGCAGGAUAGGUGGGAGGCUUUGAUCCAUGGCUUGCGGGUCAUGGUGAGCCAACGGUGAGAUACCACUCUUUCAGAGCUGGGGUUCUAACGGUCACCCGUCAUCCGGGGACCGGACAGUAUCAGGUGGGCAGUUUGACUGGGGCGGUCGCCUCCUAAAAGGUAACGGAGGCGCGCAAAGGUUUGCUCAGGCUGGUUGGAAAUCAGCCGACGAGUGCAAAAGCAGAAGCAAGCUUGACUGUGAGACCUACAAGUCGAACAGGGACGAAAGUCGGCUUUAGUGAUCCGACGGUUCUGAGUGGAAGGGCCGUCGCUCAACGGAUAAAAGUUACUCUAAGGAUAACAGGCUGAUCUCCCCCAAGAGUUCACAUCGACGGGGAGGUUUGGCACCUCGAUGUCGGCUCAUCGCAACCUGGGGCUGAAGUCGGUCCCAAGGGUUGGGCUGUUCGCCCAUUAAAGCGGUACGCGAGCUGGGUUCAGAACGUCGUGAGACAGUUCGGUCCAUAUCCGGUGCACGCGCAGGAACAUUGAGAGGAUUUCUCCCUAGUACGAGAGGACCGGGAGGAACGCACCUCUGGUGUGCCAGUUAUCGUGCCAACGGUAAACGCUGGGUAGCCAUGUGCGGAGUGGAUAACCGCUGAAAGCAUCUAAGUGGGAAGCCCACCUCAAGAUGAGUGUUCCCAUGGCAUAAGCCAGUAAGGUCACGGGAAGAACACCCGUUGAUAGGCUCUACGUGGAAGCCGGGUAACCGGUGAAGCGGAGGAGUACUAAUAGACC
rnacentral:rRNA from 1 species